GAUGAACGCUGGCGGCGUGCCUAAUACAUGCAAGUCGAGCGAACGGACGAGAAGCUUGCUUUUCUGAUGUUAGCGGCGGACGGGUGAGUAACACGUGGAUAACCUACCUAUAAGACUGGGAUAACUUCGGGAAACCGGAGCUAAUACCGGAUAAUAUUUUGAACCGCAUGGUUCAAAAGUGAAAGACGGUCUUGCUGUCACUUAUAGAUGGAUCCGCGCUGCAUUAGCUAGUUGGUAAGGUAACGGCUUACCAAGGCAACGAUGCAUAGCCGACCUGAGAGGGUGAUCGGCCACACGGGAACUGAGACACGGUCCAGACUCCUACGGGAGGCAGCAGUAGGGAAUCUUCCGCAAUGGGCGAAAGCCUGACGGAGCAACGCCGCGUGAGUGAUGAAGGUCUUCGGAUCGUAAAACUCUGUUAUUAGGGAAGAACAUAUGUGUAAGUAACUGUGCACAUCUUGACGGUACCUAAUCAGAAAGCCACGGCUAACUACGU
rnacentral:rRNA from 1 species